rnacentral:rRNA from 1 species
UACGUAGGGUGCGAGCGUUGUCCGGAAUUAUUGGGCGUAAAGAGCUUGUAGGCGGUUUGUCGCGUCUGCUGUGAAAUCCCAGGGCUUAACCCUGGGCUUGCAGUGGGUACGGGCAGACUAGAGUGUGGUAGGGGAGAUUGGAAUUCCUGGUGUAGCGGUGAAAUGCGCAGAUAUCAGGAGGAACACCGAUGGCGAAGGCAGGUCUCUGGGCCACUACUGACGCUGAGAAGCGAAAGCAUGGGUAGCAAACAGG